rnacentral:rRNA from 1 species
AGAGUUUGAUCCUGGCUCAGGACGAACGCUGGCGGCGUGCUUAACACAUGCAAGUCGAACGGAAAGGCCCUUCGGGGUACUCGAGUGGCGAACGGGUGAGUAACACGUGGGUGAUCUGCCCUGCACUUUGGGAUAAGCCUGGGAAACUGGGUCUAAUACCGAAUAGGACCACGCGCUUCAUGGUGUGUGGUGGAAAGCUUUUGCGGUGUGGGAUGGGCCCGCGGCCUAUCAGCUUGUUGGUGGGGUAAUGGCCUACCAAGGCGACGACGGGUAGCCGGCCUGAGAGGGUGACCGGCCACACUGGGACUGAGAUACGGCCCAGACUCCUACGGGAGGCAGCAGUGGGGAAUAUUGCACAAUGGGCGCAAGCCUGAUGCAGCGACGCCGCGUGAGGGAUGACGGCCUUCGGGUUGUAAACCUCUUUCAAUAGGGACGAAGCGCAAGUGACGGUACCUAUAGAAGAAGCACCGGCCAACUACGUGCCAGCAGCCGCGGUAAUACGUAGGGUGCGAGCGUUGUCCGGAAUUACUGGGCGUAAAGAGCUCGUAGGUGGUUUGUCGCGUUGUUCGUGAAAACUCACAGCUUAACUGUGGGCGUGCGGGCGAUACGGGCAGACUAGAGUACUGCAGGGGAGACUGGAAUUCCUGGUGUAGCGGUGGAAUGCGCAGAUAUCAGGAGGAACACCGGUGGCGAAGGCGGGUCUCUGGGCAGUAACUGACGCUGAGGAGCGAAAGCGUGGGUAGCGAACAGGAUUAGAUACCCUGGUAGUCCAA